GUGAAACGAAUCUAAGUUCCCUCUUAAUUUUCCCUCCCGGACAAUCUUAACCACCAUGUGAUAAAUCAAGAGCAAUUUAAAGGAGGUACAGCUCCUUUAAAAAAGAAUACAAUCUUCCCUAGCGGAUAACUACCCAACACCCCCAGACUGUAGGCCCUCAAGCAGCCACCAACAAAGAGUGCGUCAAAGCUCUACUCCCAAAAAUCCAAAAACAACAGGACUCCCUUAUCCAUAACAGGCCAACCUAUGACAAUAGGAGAAUCAAUGCUAAAAUGAGUAAUCGGGGAUCACCCUCCAAAGCGCAAGCUUACAUCCCCCACAUUAUUAACAGACCCUAAACUAAUACCCCUAACCCAACAAGCCAAGUAUUAAAUUCACUCUGUUAACCCAACCCAGGAGCGCCCAUUAGAAAGAUUCAAAUCUGCAAAAGGAACUAGGCAAUCCCAAGGCCCGACUGUUUACCAAAAACAUAGCCUUCAGCCAGCCAAGUAUUGAAGGUGAUGCCUGCCCAGUGACACCCAGUUUAACGGCCGCGGUAUCCUAACCGUGCGAAGGUAGCGCAAUCAAUUGUCCCAUAAAUCGAGACUUGUAUGAAUGGCUAAACGAGGUCUUAACUGUCUCUUGCAGACAAUCAAUGAAAUUGAUCUUCCUGUGCAAAAGCAGGAAUAAACCCAUAAGACGAGAAGACCCUGUGGAACUUAAAAAUCAGCGACCACUACACACAACCUAAGACCUACUAGGCCCACGACCCCAUAAAACACUGGUCCGCAUUUUUCGGUUGGGGCGACCUUGGAGAAAAACAAAUCCUCCAAAAACAAGAUCAAUAAAUCUUGACCAAGAACAACCUCUCAACGUGCUAACAGCAACCAGACCCAAUAUAAUUGAUCAAUGGACCAAGCUACCCCAGGGAUAACAGCGCAAUCCCCUCCGAGAGCCCGUAUAAAAGGGGGUUUACGACCUCAAUGUUGGAUCAGGACAUCCUAAUGGUGCAGCCGCUAUUAAGGGUUCGUUUGUUCAACGAUUAACAGUCCUACGUGAUCUGAGUUCAGACCGGAGCAAUCCAGGUCGGGUUCUAUCUAU
rnacentral:rRNA from 1 species